GUGGGGGAUAUUGCACAAUGGGGGAAACCCUGAUGCAGCGACGCCGCGUGAAGGAAGACGUACUUCGGUAUGUAAACUUCUAUCAGCAGGGAAGAAGAUGACGGUACCUGACUAAGAAGCCCCGGCUAACUACGUGCCAGCAGCCGCGGUAAUACGUAAGGGGCAAGCGUUAUCCGGAUUUACUGGGUGUAAAGGGAGCGUAGACGGUGAAGCAAGUCUGAUGUGAAAACCCGGGGCUCAACUCCGGGAUUGCAUUGGAAACUGUUUUACUUGAGUGCUGGAGGGGCAAGCGGAAUUCCUGGUGUAGCGGUGAAAUGCGUAGAUAUCAGGAAGAACACCGGUGGCGAAGGCGGCUUGCUGGACAGUAACUGACGUUGAGGCUCGAAAGCGUGGGGAGCAAACAGGAUUAGAAACCCCGGUAGUCC
rnacentral:rRNA from 1 species